rnacentral:rRNA from 1 species
UACGUAGGUGGCAAGCGUUGUCCGGAAUUAUUGGGCGUAAAGCGCGCGCAGGCGGUCUCUUAAGUCUGAUGUGAAAGCCCACGGCUCAACCGUGGAGGGUCAUUGGAAACUGGGGGGACUUGAGUGCAGAAGAGGAGAGUGGAAUUCCACGUGUAGCGGUGAAAUGCGUAGAGAUGUGGAGGAACACCAGUGGCGAAGGCGACUCUCUGGUCUGUAACUGACGCUGAGGCGCGAAAGCGUGGGGAGCGAACAGG